CAUGGUCUUAGCUUGCUAAGGCCGAUGGCGACCGGCGCACGGGUGAGUAACACGUAUCCAACCUGCCGUCUACUCUUGGACAGCCUUCUGAAAGGAAGAUUAAUACAAGAUGGCAUCAUGAGUCCGCAUGUUCACAUGAUUAAAGAAUUUCGGUUGUCGAUGGGGAUGCGUUCCAUUAGGCAGUUGGCGGGGUAACGGCCCACCAAACCAACGAUGGAUAGGGGUUCUGAGAGGAAGGUCCCCACAUUGGUACUGAGACACGGACCAAACUCC
rnacentral:rRNA from 1 species